rnacentral:rRNA from 1 species
AGGACGAACGCUGGCGGCGUGCUUAACACAUGCAAGUCGAGCGGAAAGGCCCUUCGGGGUACUCGAGCGGCGAACGGGUGAGUAACACGUGAGCAACCUGCCCCUGGCUCUGGGAUAGCCUCCGGAAACGGGGAUUAAUACCGGACAUUCACUGCCUGCCGCAUGGUGGGUGGUGGAAAGUUUUUCGGCCAGGGAGGGGCUCGCGGUCUAUCAGCUUGUUGGCGGGGUAACGGCCCACCAAGGCGACGACGGAUAGCCGGCCUGAGAGGGCGAUCGGCCACACUGGGACUGAGACACGGCCCAGACUCCUACGGGAGGCAGCAGUGGGGAAUAUUGCACAAUGGGCGCAAGCCUGAUGCAGCGACGCCGCGUGGGGAUGAAGGCCUUCGGGUUGUAACCCCUUUCACCAGGAGCGAAUUCAGACGGUACCGUGGGGAAGAAGCGCCGGCUAACGUACGCGCCAGUAGCCGC